rnacentral:rRNA from 1 species
AGCGUAGGCGGCAUGGUAAGCCAGAUGUGAAAGCCUUGGGCUUAACCCGAGGAUUGCAUUUGGAACUAUCAAGCUAGAGUACAGGAGAGGAAAGCGGAAUUCCUAGUGUAGCGGUGAAAUGCGUAGAUAUUAGGAAGAACACCAGUGGCGAAGGCGGCUUUCUGGACUGAAACUGACGCUGAGGCUCGAAAGCGUGGGAGCAAACA